rnacentral:rRNA from 1 species
UACGUAGGGUGCGAGCGUUGUCCGGAAUUAUUGGGCGUAAAGAGCUCGUAGGCGGUUUGUUGCGUCUAUCGUGAAAACCUGCAGCUUAACUGUGGGCUUGCGGUGGAUACGGGCAGACUUGAGUUCGGUAGGGGAGACUGGAAUUCCUGGUGUAGCGGUGAAAUGCGUUGAUAUCGGGAGGAAUACCCGUGGCGAAGGCGGUCCACUGGGCAUCAACUGACGCUGAGGCGCGAAAGCGUGGGUAGCAAACAGG